ensembl:lncRNA
AUAUAGGGGCGUUUAUAGGUGCCUCUGAAUCGGAAACUUCACUAUUCAAAAGUGCUUUGGGGCCAAAUGAGCUCUCCAACUCUACAAGCAGAAAGCCCUACUGGGGAUAUGUGGAGGGGGGAUAUUCCACCCCCACCACCAGACUAGGCUGCAUUCAAGAAAGACUCAGAUUGAGGGAGGGAGGGAGGAAAGGAAAGAAGGAAAAAAAAAAAAAAAAAAAAGGAAGGAAGGGAAGGAAGAAAGGAGGAAAGACAAGAGAUUUUUUAAAAAGAGAGGAUUUAAUUGGACUUAGUGGCAGAGGGGAUUAGCAAGAGGGGCACUUGGGACCUGGUUUUAAAUUGGCGAGUGCUUUUUGGAAGAAAACACUGUACGCACGAUCAGGGUCUGGGUGUUCCAGCGAACUGAUGACCAUACAAAUCACGAGUUUCACAGGGAUGACAUAGUGUCAUGCUUUAGCCAUGAGCUAUCGUGGAAACUAGCCUCCCUCUCGUAGGCAAUCCAUCAUUCACUAACUGGCCGCUCCACCAUUCCACACGGAAAGAAGUCGGACUCGGAGCCUCCCGCGCGGGCUGGGUCUGGGAACCCUCUGCGGGCGCGGGUGCGCGGGCGGGCGACCGAGUGCCGGCCAAGCGGGGCUCGGAUGGGAGCGGCCCGCGCCAGAUCCGAGGGCGAUUGCCUCUCCAGCCUGCGGAGGGUACGGCCGCGAGUGCCUCCAAAUCACUAGGGGACUCUGAACGUGUUGCUCCCGUCAACUCGCUCAACAUGAUUCAUUUAUUCACUUAGAUAAACCACCACCGCCACACCAACCUGCCACUUGAUGCGCACUUAAAAGGACAGGGGAGCGCGGGCCAGGCAGACCCUCCGCCGGACACGACUCGGGGAGAAACAUGUUUUAAAAUCCAAGCUCUUGAGCUUCUAACCAGGGAGCGCGCGCGAGUGUGUGAAGAGGCUGAGAACCUCGGUUUUCAGAGACUCUAGAAUAAACUUCUCGCCCCCCUCUCCUCCCGAGGACAGUCGGGACUGUGGGUGAUCGAGUCUCAUUGGGUCGGGUCGGCCUUCUAAGUUGGCGGGGCCCUGCGGGACCGGUCUGCUUGACCCGACCGCGCUCGCAUUGGAGAGCCGAGGCUCGAUCGGUCUGCCGGGCUGCAUAACCCCCGCCCCGCAGCAGCGGCGUCCCUCGCGCGCCGCCGCGUUUCCCGCGCUCUCGGCCCGUACUUCCCGGCGCGGCCUACAAGGCCCCGCGCGGCCCCGCCUCCGGGUCCCGCUCGGUCUCCGGCUGCGAGAGGGAAGGCGGAGGUUAUCCGCCGAGGGACAAGCGGAGCGGACCGAGGCAAAAGAAGCAUUACAGAAUUUACUGUUAACCUGUGUCCCUAAAACUGCUCUUAAAGAAAAGGGGUGUUUUCACCUGAAUGAUUCAGACUGUGUGGCCGCUUCAGGGAUAAUUGGAACUCUCCUGUGUGGAUAUGGUUUUAAUGUCCAGAUGCUUAGCCUCGUCACAAAUAUUCCCUUAAAUAUGGGGUUCCUGAGCAGAAGGGAAAAUGAGCUUAAACAUGAGGCUUGGAGGAGAAAGAAGGGCUGGGGAGAAAUAUGCUUCUGCUGCUGCUGCUAAGUCUCUUCAGUUGUGUCCGACUCUGUGCAACCCCAUAGACGGCAGCCCACCAGGCUCUCCUGUCCCUGAGAUUCUCCAGACAAGAACACUGGAGUGGGUUGCCAUUUCCUUCUCCAAUGCAGGAAAGUGAAAAGUGAACGUGAAGUCGCUCAGUCGUGUCCGACUCCUAGAAUACACCAAAUAUAACCAAAAGAACACAUCCUUCACACAUCUUGGUAUUUAUCAGCUUAAGAAAGUCAGCUUGUCUGAAAGUCAGUUUCUCAACUUGAAACGAGAAUAAAACUAUUGUGUGAGAAAUAUUUUAAGCAGUUACUGAAUUCAUGUGAUCAAAGUCUUCUUCAAAGUGCUUGUUUAUUGUAGCUGUUCCUCAAAUGUCAGGCCCAUAUUUUCUCACUACCAGAACACUCCAAAGAUCCCUAUCACACAAGUCUGUUAAAUUGGGGUGUCCAAUUUCUGCUGUUGUAUUCAUUCAGUUCAGUUGCUCAGUCAUGUC